CAAUAGCGUAUAUUAAAGUUGUUGCAGUUAAAAAGCUCGUAGUUGGAUUUCUGUGAGAGUGCCGGUGUCGGCUGAUGCUUGUACGCAGGCGCUCUUACAUCCUUCUGUUAACUGUUCUUGGCAUUUUAUUGCUGGUUCAGGGCUCAGAUAUUUUACCUUGAGAAAAUUAGAGUGUUUCAGGCAGGCUUAUGCCGGAAUACAUUAGCAUGGAAUAAUGGAACAGGACCUGUGCGUCUCUCGGGGCGCCGGUCUCCGUUGUUGGUUUCGGGGACUAAUGUAAUGAUUAAUAGGGAUAGUUGGGGGCAUUAGUAUUUAAUAGUCAGAGGUGAAAUCCUCGGAUUUGUUAAAGACUAACUUAUGCGAAAGCAUUUGCCAAGGAUGUUUUCAUUAA
rnacentral:rRNA from 1 species